rnacentral:rRNA from 1 species
GUCGAACGGUAACAGGAAGCAGCUUGCUGCUUCGCUGACGAGUGGCGGACGGGUGAGUAAUGUCUGGGAAACUGCCUGAUGGAGGGGGAUAACUACUGGAAACGGUAGCUAAUACCGCAUAACGUCGCAAGACCAAAGAGGGGGACCUUCGGGCCUCUUGCCAUCGGAUGUGCCCAGAUGGGAUUAGCUAGUAGGUGGGGUAACGGCUCACCUAGGCGACGAUCCCUAGCUGGUCUGAGAGGAUGACCAGCCACACUGGAACUGAGACACGGUCCAGACUCCUACGGGAGGCAGCAGUGGGGAAUAUUGCACAAUGGGCGCAAGCCUGAUGCAGCCAUGCCGCGUGUAUGAAGAAGGCCUUCGGGUUGUAAAGUACUUUCAGCGGGGAGGAAGGUGUUGAGGUUAAUAACCUCAGCAAUUGACGUUACCCGCAGAAGAAGCACCGGCUAACUCCGUGCCAGCAGCCGCGGUAAUACGGAGGGUGCAAGCGUUAAUCGGAAUUACUGGGCGUAAAGCGCACGCAGGCGGUCUGUCAAGUCGGAUGUGAAAUCCCCGGGCUCAACCUGGGAACUGCAUUCGAAACUGGCAGGCUAGAGUCUUGUAGAGGGGGGUAGAAUUCCAGGUGUAGCGGUGAAAUGCGUAGAGAUCUGGAGGAAUACCGGUGGCGGAGGCGGCCCCCUGGAC